UGCAGUCGAGCGGAUGAAGGGAGCUUGCUCCUGGAUUCAGCGGCGGACGGGUGAGUAAUGCCUAGGAAUCUGCCUGGUAGUGGGGGAUAACGUCCGGAAACGGGCGCUAAUACCGCAUACGUCCUGAGGGAGAAAGUGGGGGAUCUUCGGACCUCACGCUAUCAGAUGAGCCUAGGUCGGAUUAGCUAGUUGGUGGGGUAAAGGCCUACCAAGGCGACCAUCCGUAACUGGUCUGAGAGGAUGAUCAGUCACACUGGAACUGAGACACGGUCCAGACUCCUACGGGAGGCAGCAGUGGGGAAUAUUGGACAAUGGGCGAAAGCCUGAUCCAGCCAUGCCGCGUGUGUGAAGAAGGUCUUCGGAUUGUAAAGCACUUUAAGUUGGGAGGAAGGGCAGUAAGUUAAUACCUUGCUGUUUUGACGUUACCAACAGAAUAAGCACCGGCUAACUUCGUGCCAGCAGCCGCGGUAAUACGAAGGGUGCAAGCGUUAAUCGGAUUUACUGGGCGUAAAGCGCGCGUAGGUGGUUCAGCAAGUUGGAUGUGAAAUCCCCGGGCUCAACCUGGGAACUGCAUCCAAAACUACUGAGCUAGAGUACGGUAGAGGGUGGUGGAAUUUCCUGUGUAGCGG
rnacentral:rRNA from 1 species